rnacentral:tRNA from 1 species
AGCAGAGUGGCCUAAUGGAAAGAGCAUGGGCCUGGGUGUCAGUGGACCCAGGUUCUAAUCCUGGCUCUGAUA